CUUUUUUUUUUUCAGAAUGGUGGCCUCAUAGUUCAAAGUCAUCUGCAGUGGCUAUACAUUCAUCUGGAUAACAAGCCCUCAGGCAAAACUCGGGCUUCAUCCAGCCCGCAAAGCUCAGACUCUCUUCUCCGUGUUGAAUUGAUGCACAGACGUCACAGGUAUCUGCCCCUCUUCCCUCCUAAAAGGAGACCCACAGUUCUUCCUCCUCAGGUUGAAUACCCAUGAAGUUGGCCCUGCCUUCAUGUCAAAAGCGAUCCGUGAACUCAACACUCGUACAUGGUUCUGAAAGUGCAGGCUGUCCGAUCUCCUGCCUGCCUGCUGGACUCCACGUCACCUGCCUU